CUGACUGCCAGGAGGGAAGGAUCUCUGUCUGGAGAUUCCUCUUUGGUGAAGCUUUCUCCAUCAAACCUAGACUCUUCUGAUAUGGGAAUGGGUUUAACUGGACUCACCUGAGUUCUUAUGAAAUUGCAAUGGAUAUGAAGAGUGUCUUCAAAGCUAAUCCUUUCAGUCUAACCAUCUUACCACAUUUUGGAUGCUAGUUACUCCUGGACUGCUAAUGAUAGACACAGAUUCUAAACAUCACUAAAAUGGUGAGUAUGUGGAAAGGAGGUUCAGCAUGCCUUUUUCCUCAUGUGUUCCACAUGUAACAACAUACUGGAAAUAGGAAAAAUAAAAGAAUUCACACAUUUCCAUGUUGGGCUCAAGAAAUGGAAAGUACUGUGACCAAAUCUACUCUUAUUUUCUAUCUAUUAGGAUCUUGAGAAUUAAUGAAACAAUAUAAACUGAAGAAGAAACCUCACAAAACCAACAUAGUGUAUAAUUACAGAUACAGUGCAAAGGGCUAAUCAAUGUUUAAAAAAAAAAACACAAAACAAAACACCCUUGCCACAAAAAAGUACCUGCUGCAAAGCUGUUCGUAUGAUGUCAGUGCAACAGGAUGCUGCAAAGAGAAAAAAAACAGCACUGUAAAGAAGGUACUUGAGAAAAAGCGUUGUGUGUAUUGCUAUCAAUUACAUGUAAUUCUGGUAGAUGUGGCUUCAAAAAUUAAGUAUCUUCUGUAAAGAGGAAGCAGGGAAAGUCAGUGAUGAACCUGCAGUGCAGUCAUACGUUACAGACAACAGAAGCUCCUUUUUCCUGGGCAGAAAUUACACCAAUGUGACCUAAAUGCUGAAACAAACUCUCUAUACCACCCUCAAGUAUGCAAUUGUAUUCUGGACCUGUAGGUAAGCAAACUUUCAGAAGUUCGCCAGAAAUGUCCAUCUGCUCUUUGUAUUUUGUUACACCUGCAGUAAUCAGACCUAUCAGACCCUCCAAGACAGCCUUUCAAGAUUAUUGUAGAAUGCUUUUUUUUUUUUUUUUGCUUUAAAACCUGUUUCUGCAUGCCUGUUUCAAGACACGACUCAGCACAAAGGGCCUGAGACCUAAAGCAGGCUAUGUUUUACCAGAGAACUUAGCCUGUGUGCAAGUUGCACAAUGAAGUAAGAGGCUUAUUAAGUUUGCACACUUACAUGAAGUGGGAUUAAGCACGUUAUUAGGCCAUAAACGUGCCCCAACUCCUCUCUGUAAUGUCUAGCUGCUGCAGAUGAUGUGCAGGCCAGAAGGAUUUGUCUGUGCAUUCGUUUUUCCGGAUCUAUUGUUUGUUAAAGAGGCACCACUGGCGAUGCAGGCGGGGUAACCGUAGGCGCCGGGUUACAGUCAGCACCACAAGCCGCUCCGAGGGUGCAGAGUUCAAGGCUGUUAACACGCUCCGUACCGCUGAGAGAUUGAUAUUUUAAGCAUGUCUUGAAUGCCAACGUGUAAUUUGAUUAUCUGUUAUCAAGCCUGCACUACAAGAAUUCCUCUUCCCGAAGAAAUCCGGAUAGUGCCACACAGAAAUUUGCCAUCCGACUUUUACCGUGAUAGAUUCAAUAGAUAUACAUGUGCAAGAACAGAAGAUCAAGUCAGUGCGAGAGGCGCUGCCGGGAUCUCUAACCUCGCACAAAACCAGGUUUAAUUCU